AUUAUUGUAAUAAUCUUUGUGCAUUAAAAACUAAUAACACACCAAUCAAUAGCCUUGUGUAAUGUAUGUACAAAAUGAGUAUUAUGAGUUAUGAACAAAAGUUGAAAUUAUUACUCAAAUGUGUUUAUCAGACAAGUCUGGGGAGGAGGGUAAACCAGUUUGUCAAAGACAAAGGAGAAGCUGACACAUCAGCCGAGUGUCAUCAAAGUUGACUGGCUAUCACCUGUCAAGUGGCCAUUCUUUGGGCAUGAAAGGGAGUAGGAACAGAUGGAUCUGCAUUUUAGCAACAUGAACCCUCUUUCACCAUAAGAUUCCAUGUCUCCAUCCUCAUAGCUGGAAUUGACUUUAUCUAGGUGUAGCCCUCAGGAAAAUGCAUUUCAAAGGCUGACAGGACUAUAAAAGUGAGGGGCAAAAACAUCACAAGCUCUUUUCUCUUUUUCUUUUUCUUUUCUUUCAUCUAAGAAGACAAAGGAACUAGCCUUUGAUGUUGGAGGGGAGAUCCUGACCUGAGAAUUUGGUCAUCCCUGUUGAUGGAAAAAUGGGACCUUUUUAGGUAGGAAUUCCACAUCCACUGAAGAAAAUCAUCAGAAAGAGAGAACAAUACUGAUCCCAUAUAGAUCCUCGGGGCCCUUCACAAUUUUAAUUUUUUUUUCAACGUUCAGAUUCAGCCCCACUCUCAGCUUCUUGUCUGUCAACCAGUUUUUAGUCCAUAGCAGGACUUUACCUCACUGCAUGGUUACGAGGUUUCUAUUAUAGCCUCAUGGGAAGAACUUUAUCAAAAGCAUUUUGAAAGUCUAAAUAAAUUAUAUCCAUCC